rnacentral:tRNA from 1 species
AGUUCAAUUGGUAGAGCAACGGUCUCCAAAACCGUAGGUUGGGGGUUCGAGUCCCUCC